GACAGGCUUAACACAUGCAAGCCGAGGGGCAGCAGGGGUAGCAAUACCCGCUGGCGACCGGCGUACGGGUGAGUAACGCGUGUGCAACCUACCCUUUACAGGGGAAUAACCCAUGGAAACGUGGCCUAAUACCCCAUAGCAUAAUCGAAUCGCAUGAUUAGGUUAUUAAAGAUUUAUCGGUAAAGGAUGGGCACGCGUGACAUUAGAUAGUUGGUGGGGUAACGGCCUACCAAGUCAACGAUGUCUAGGGGUUCUGAGAGGAAGGUCCCCCACACUGGAACUGAGACACGGUCCAGACUCCUACGGGAGGCAGCAGUGAGGAAUAUUGGUCAAUGGGUGCGAGCCUGUACCAUCCAAGUCGCGUGAGGGACGACGGAUCUAUGGUCUGUAAACCUCUUUUACAAGGGAAGAAUAAGGAUUACGUGUAAUCUGAUGCCAGUACCUUGAGAAUAAGCACCGGCUAACUCCGUGCCAGCAGCCGCGGUAAUACGGAGGGUGCAAGCGUUAUCCGGAUUUAUUGGGUUUAAAGGGUGCGUAGGCGGUAAAUCAAGUCAGUGGUGAAAGCCGGCAGCUCAACUGUCGCAAGCUAUUGAAACUGGUUAACUAGAGUACAGUCGAGGUAAGCGGAAUAAGUGAAGUAGCGGUGAAAUGCUUAGAUAUCACUUAGAACUCCGAUAGCGAAGCCAGCUUACCAGCCUGUUACUGACGCUGAUGCACGAGUAGCGUGGGUAGCGAACAGGA
rnacentral:rRNA from 1 species